rnacentral:rRNA from 1 species
GACGAACCGUCCGAACGUUAUUCGGUAUCACUGGGCUUAAAGAGUUCGUAGGCGGCCUAGUAGGUGAGAUGUGAAAUCCCACGGCUCAACCGUGGAACUGCGUUUCAAACCACUAGGCUUGAGGGAGAUAGAGGUGAGUGGAACAGAUGGUGGAGCGGUGAAAUGCGUUGAUAUCAUCUGGAACACCGGUGGCGAAGGCAGGUCUCUGGGCGUACUGACGCUGAGGAGCGAAAG